GCAGCCUGAUCCAGCCAUGCCGCGUGUGUGAAGAAGGCCUUCGGGUUGUAAAGCACUUUCACCUGGGAGGAAGGGGACUCGGCUAAUACCUUGAUCUCUUGACGUUACCGACAGAAUAAGCACCGGCUUACUCCGUGCCAGCAGCCGCGGUAAUA
rnacentral:rRNA from 1 species